GGGCUGUUAGCUCAGUUGGUAGAGCAGCGGACUUUUAAUCCGUUGGUCCAGGGUUCGAGUCCCUGACGGCCCA
rnacentral:tRNA from 1 species